ACCGGAGUGACUCAGUUGGUAGAGCAUGUGACUCUUGAUCUUGGGGUUGUGGGUUCAAGCCCCACGUUGGGUG
rnacentral:tRNA from 1 species